rnacentral:rRNA from 1 species
AGAGUUUGAUUAUGGCUCAGGACGAACGCUGGCGGUGUGCCUUAGUCAUGCAAGUCGAACGGGAUCUUUGCCCGCAAGGGUGAAGGUUCAGUGGCGAACGGGUGAGUAAUGUGUGGGAAUCUGCCCUCGAGACGGGAACAACCCGCCGAAAGGCGGGCUAAUACCAGAUAACAUUUCUGUGUGAAAACGCGGAAAUCAAAUGAUGGCCUCUGCUUGCAAGCCAUCGCUCAAGGAUGAGCCCACAUCCUAUCAGCUAGUUGGCGGGGUAAUGGCCCACCAAGGCUAUGACGGGUAGCUGGUCUAAGAGGACGGCCAGCCACACUGGGACUGCGACACGGCCCAGACUCCUACGGGAGGCAGCAGUCAGGAAUAUUGGGCAAUGGGCGAAAGCCUGACCCAGCGACACCGCGUGUGGGAUUAAGGCCUUCGGGUUGUAAACCACUGUCAGGGGAACGAAGUAGGCGCCGGCGAAUAGCCGGUGCCCGUUGACGGUACUCCCAGAGGAAGCCACGGCUAACUCUGUGCCAGCAGCCGCGGUAAGACAGAGGUGGCGAGCGUUGUCCGGAUUCACUGGGCGUAAAGGGCGUGUAGGCUGUUUCGCAAGUCAGUCGUGAAAGGCAUCGGCUCAACCGAAGCAGUGCGACUGAGACUGCGAGGCUCGAGGGUGGGAGAGGAAAGUGGAAUUCCCGGUGUAGCAGUGAAAUGCGUAGAUAUCGGGAAGAACACCAAUGGCGAAGGCGACUUUCUGGCCCGCUACUGACGCUGAGGCGCGAAAGCCAGGGGAGCGAACGGGAUUAGAUACCCCGGUAGUCCUGGCCGUAAACUAUGGACACUAGGUGUGGGGGAGUUUUCUCCUCCGUGCCGAAGCUAACGCAUUAAGUGUCCCGCCUGGGGACUACGGCCGCAAGGUUGAAACUCAAAUAAAUUGACGGGGGCCCGCACAAGCGGUGGAGCAUGUGGCUCAAUUCGACACAACGCGAGGAACCUUACCAGGGUUUGACAUGACUAGGACAGUCCGCGAAAGCGGAUCUUCCCGCAAGGGACCUAGACACAGGUGCUGCAUGGCUGUCGUCAGCUCGUGUCGUGAGAUGUUGGGUUAAGUCCCGCAACGAGCGCAACCCCUAUUCCUAGUUGCUACCAGGUCAAGCUGAGCACUCUAGGGAGACUGCCCGGGUAACCGGGAGGAAGGUGGGGAUGACGUCAAGUCCUCAUGGCCUUUAUGCCCUGGGCUGCACACGUGCUACAAUGGCGCGCACAAAGGGUUGCGAAACCGCAAGGUGAAGCCAAUCCCAAAAAACGCGCCUCAAUUCAGAUUGCAGGCUGCAACUCGCCUGCAUGAAGCUGGAAUCGCUAGUAAUCGCGGAUAAGUACGCCGCGGUGAAUACGUUCCCGGGCCUUGUACACACCGCCCGUCAAGCCACGAAAGCUGACUGUACCCGAAGCCGUUUUAGCCAACCCGCAAGGGGGGCGGGCGGCGAAGGUAUGAUCGGUGAUUGGGGCUAAGUCGUAACAAGGUA